rnacentral:lncRNA from 1 species
UGCAACUCAUACAAUCUAUAAUACAAUCUACAACAAAGCUUUGAAAGCUGAAGUAGAAUACAUUAUUCAUAGCAUAUGCUCCAUCAAAGCACACACCGUAAUCAUACAAAAUGAUGUCAGCAUUCACCGAACCAUCCUCAAGCAGUUCAAGACGUUCCGAGCUGUACCAGCAACAAACUGGGAUAGUUCGAUCAGGCAAAUCGGCACAC